rnacentral:rRNA from 1 species
GUAUCCAACCUGCCGAUGACUCGGGGAUAGCCUUUCGAAAGAAAGAUUAAUACCCGAUGGCAUAGUUCUUCCGCAUGGUGGAACUAUUAAAGAAUUUCGGUCAUCGAUGGGGAUGCGUUCCAUUAGGUUGUUGGCGGGGUAACGGCCCACCAAGCCUUCGAUGGAUAGGGGUUCUGAGAGGAAGGUCCCCCACAUUGGAACUGAGACACGGUCCAAACUCCUACGGGAGGCAGCAUG